GAAUUUGUGGUAAUAUGCCGAAAAUGCUAAAUUUUAUAAAUUCCUAAUCCAUGUGCCGCAGGUUCGAUUCCUGCCGGGGGCACCA
rnacentral:tRNA from 1 species